rnacentral:rRNA from 1 species
AUUGAACGCUGGCGGCAGGCUUAACACAUGCAAGUCGAGCGGAGCGGCGGACGGGGGAGUAAUGCCUAGGAAUCUGCCUGGUAGUGGGGGAUAAGGUACGGAAACGGGCGCUAUUACCGCAUACUAACAGCUGAGCAUGGGUCGGAUUAGCUAGUUGGUGGGGUAAAGGCCUACCAAGGCGACGAUCCGUAACUGGUCUGAGAGGAUGAUCAGUCACACUGAGACUGAGACACGGUCCAGACUCCUACGGGAGGCAGCAGUGGGGAAUAUUGGACAAUGGGCGAAAUCCUGAUCCAGCCAUGCCGCGUGUGUGAAGAAGGUCUUCGGAUUGUAAAGCACUUUAAGUAGGGAGGCGUUACCAACAGAAUAAGCACCGGCUAACUUCGUGCCAGCAGCCGCGGUAAUGC